rnacentral:misc_RNA from 1 species
AGUUUAGUCGACGUUGCUGGCAUCGGCCAGCUGGAUCAGCAUUCAUUGGUAGUUCAUUCACCAAAGAAAAGCAAUGUCAGGAAAUUCGAAGGAUUUUCUCUACCUUGCAUGGCUAUUGUUGGUGCAUAGUGUGUAGUGUUAACGCUGUGAUAAUUUUAUCCAAGCACGAUUUUUAAAAAAAAUAUGAAAGGACAGGAUCUUUUAGCUGGUGCAGCCAGAGCGGCUACUUAUAACAUGGCACUUCAGUUAUGUAUUCGAAUGAUGACAUUUAUUCUGAAUGGAGUUGUACUGAGGUAUAUUUCCAAGGAAUUGCUAGGAGUGGUCAAUGUCAGAUUGACUCUCUUAUACACCACCACUCUGUUCAUUGCGACCGAGUCCUUCGAUCAGGCCUGCCUCAGCAAGAUAGAAAACAAGGACUGGCGACAAGUGGUCAAUCAAAUGUGGCUAACGUUUCCAAUGAGUAUCGUUGUGUGUUUUAUAUUUGGAUCUAUCUGGAUGUAUGGAUUGGAGAGUCCGGAUCCAGAGAGCAUUCCUUACUAUGGAGUUGGUGUCCUGUGCUUCUGUUUGAACACUAUAAUCACUACACUAGCCAGGCCCCACUUCAUUAUUGGACAGUGCCACUUGUUUAACAGACUCAGGGUAAGUCAAUUAUUACUGGUAUUCAUAAUUACAUGUUUCUAAUGUUCAUGGAACAUACUUUAGACAGAAUUGACUACCAUUUGAUACAUGUAUUUCAAUAUUUUAGCAAUUGUUUUUGCUGCCUGGAGAUUAGCAAUUUUAAUUUUGCAUGUGAUUUGAGAUACUGCUGGAAAAAUUAAUUUUGUAUUAUGCAAAUUGUUUUGAUUUUUCAUGAAAAAUAAAGUUAUACUAAACAAGAUUAUCAAUACAUGUAUUUAUAGUACCCUUUUAAUACUUUUUUUCAUAAGUCAAUGUUGGAACAUUUAUUGAAUAUAUAACUUUAUAGAAUAUUUAAAAACUGGAUAUUUGGAGAUGGGUUUUGUAUUAGAGCUUAUCAUGACACAAACUAAAUUUUUAAACAUUCCACCUCCCAGGGAACAGCUUAAUUGUUACAUAUAUUUACUUACUCCACCAACAAAUCAAACAUCUUUUUUCUUAGCUUUAUAUGAUAUUUAUUAAUAUAAGUUUGUGAAGCAUUUAUGAUAUAUACAAUCAGAGAUGCACUUAUAUGUUUUUAAUUACAGGUUGUAUCUGUGGCAAUGUCAGAACUGUUGAAAUGUGUUGUUGCUGCAUUCCUAGUCAUAUAUUUUCCACAGUGGGGCUUAAUAAACUUCUGCAUUGCUCAACUGGUUUGUGCGAUAAGUUACUCCGCCAUAUAUUACGCAGUGUUUUACAUGAUGAUUAAGAAUAAGGACCUGGAGGAGACAUUCGUGUUUCAGUCAGUCAGGGACUUCUUUCCCAGAAUCCUACCUGAUAAACCAUUUAUUGAUCAGCGGCUAGCAUCGUUAACUGGCAGUUUCUUUAAGCAGUCUAUCUUCAAACAAAUACUGACAGAAGGUAUUCUAGUGAAAAAUAUGUGAUGACAGUGUUUGGAGUUUUAAACUUUGGAGACCAAGGGGUGUAUGACAUCAUUAACAAUUUGGGCUCCCUGGCUCCCCGAUUUAUUUUUCAACCAAUAGAAGAGAGCGGCCGUCUCUUUUUCUCCAGCUUGUUUACCCGAGGUCAAAGUCUGCAGCUACAAAGCAAAGACUCCAUAGAGUUGGUGACCAGCGUACUCCAACAUCUCCUUAAGACAGUCACUCUGAUUGGCUGUAUCAUCCUGGUGUUUGGUCAGCCCUACGCCUACCUAGCGCUCGAUUUGUAUGGAGGAUCUCUACUCUCCUCAGGGGCUGGUCCUCUGUUACUAAGGUGGUACUGUCUGUAUGUCCUGCUGCUGGCAGUCAAUGGCAUCACAGAGUGUUUCUACUUCUCCAUUAUGAGUAAAGAGGAAAUUGAUAGCUAUAACCACAAAAUGCUGUUGUUCUCUGUCAUUCUGUUGGGAUCUUCCCUAUUCCUAACACAGAUCUUUGGCAGUGUUGGAUUUGUUCUAGCAAACAGCAUUAAUAUAGGAUGUAGAAUUCUUCAAAGUGUUUGGUUUAUUCAUAACUUCUACAAGGACAGCAGUUACCAGCCACUGAAGGGAUUUCUCCCAUCAUUCUCUGUACUAGGAGCCUUGGCUCUUGCUUAUUGUACAACAGCAUUCUCAGAGUACUACCUCUGCUGUGAUGGUGGGAAUCUUUACAAACUUCUACACAUUGCCAUCGGAGGAGUGUGCCUGUUGUGUGUUCUAGUUACCAUAGUAAUCAGUGAGAGAGAACUUAUACAAUUUGUGACAACACGGCUAUGGGGACGCAAAAUAGGAAAGACAAACUGACAAAUUUUAUGUUUAGGUUCUUAUGUUGGGAUAGUUAAAUUGUACAAAACUAAAGGAAAGUAUCUGUCAAUCCCGCGGGAUUUCAGAGAUGCUAGUCGUUGGCUUUAACAAUGGGAAUCUAGUCAGUUCAGACAUGUAAACCUCAGUUGAGAAUUCCAGUAUUCAGUAUUGUACAUGAAUUACAUGUAAUAAAUGAAUCUGAACAUGUAAUUGGAUACAUCUAUGAGAAAAGUGAAUAAAUGGCUUCUAAGUUU